rnacentral:rRNA from 1 species
UACGGGGGGGGCAAGCUUUGUUCGGAAUUACUGGGCGUAAAGGGCUCGUAGGCGGCCAACUAAGUCAGACGUGAAAUUCCCAGGCUUAACCUGGGAACUGCGUCUGAUACUGGAUGGCUUGAAUCCGGGAGAGGGAUGCAGAAUUCCAGGUGUAGCGGUGAAAUGCGUAGAUAUCUGGAGGAACACCGGUGGCGAAGGCGGGUCUCUGGGCAACAACUGACGCUGAGGAGCGAAAGCGUGGGGAGCGAACAGG